rnacentral:lncRNA from 1 species
GAAAGAAUGGAAAUUGUAAUAACAAAAUCCUAAUUCUAAUAGAAUAUUAACAAUACUCUAAUUAGAUCAUAAUAAUAUUAAGCAAGCUUAAUCAAAUUCAAAAAACCCUGAAAGAAAUUUCAAACAGAUAAUAAGAAUUCUUAAAAAAACAUUAGAAAGAACACAAAUAUCACUCAAAUACAUCUCAAUUAAAUCUUAAUUUAAUUCUAGUUAAAAUCCUAUUGAAUUUCAUUCAAACUUUAUACCAAAACUAAUUGAAUCUUAAAUCUUAAUAAAAUCCUAAAUCCUAAAUCAAAUCCUAAACAAACCUUAAACCAAAUCUCAACUAAAUCCUAACCAAAUCCUAAACCAACCCUAACCAAAUCCUAAACCAAUCCUAACCAAAUCCUAAUCAAAACCCUAAAUCCUAAAUAAAAUCCUAAUCAAAUUCUAAAUCCUAAAUAAAAUCCUAAUCAAACCCUAAAUUCUAAAUCAAAUCCUAACCAAAUCCUAAACCCUAAAUAAAAUCCUAACUAAAUUCUAAAUCAAAUCCU